AAUGCUUUGUAAUUGGAAUGAUAGAAAUUUAAAUACUUUUUAAAGUAUCAAUUGGAGGGCAAGUCUGGUGCCAGCAGCCGCGGUAAUUCCAGCUCCAAUAGCGUAUAUUAAAAUUGUUGCAGUUAAAAAGCUCGUAGUUGAAUUUUUGCUAAAAAUAACCGGUCUGCUUUUAUUAAUAAAAGUGGUAUCUUGGUGUGUUUUUAGCAAUAAUGUCCUUUGAAAUGUUUUUUACUUUAUUGUAAAAAGCAAUUUUCAGGAUUUUUACUUUGAGAAAAUUAGAGUGUUUCAAGCAGGCUAACGUUUUGAAUACUGCAGCAUGGAAUAAUAAAAUAGGAUUUUAGUUCUACGUUAUUGGUUUUAAGAACUGAAUUAAUGAUUGAUAGGAGCAGUUGGGGGCAUUUGUAUUUAACUGUCAGAGGUGAAAUUCUUAGAUUUGUUAAAGACACACUACUGCGAAAGCAUUUGCCAAAGAUGUUUUCAUUAAUCAA
rnacentral:rRNA from 1 species